rnacentral:rRNA from 1 species
CCCGUAGGGCGCGAGCGUUGUCCGGAAUUAUUGGGCGUAAAGAGCUCGUAGGCGGCCUGUUGCGUCCGCUGUGAAAGCCCGGGGCUUAACCCCAGGUCGGCAGUGGAUACGGGCAGGCUAGAGGUAGGUAGGGGAGAAUGGAAUUCCCGGUGUAGCGGUGAAAUGCGCAGAUAUCGGGAGGAACACCGGUGGCGAAGGCGGUUCUCUGGGCCUUACCUGACGCUGAGGAGCGAAAGCGUGGGGAGCGAACAGG